rnacentral:tRNA from 1 species
GCGGGUAUAGCUUAGUGGUAAAGUCCCAGCUUCCCAAGCUGGUCACGCGGGUCCGAUUCCCGCUACCCGCU